rnacentral:rRNA from 1 species
UCUCAGUUCGGAUUGAAGUCUGCAACCCGACUUCGUGAAGGUGGAGUCGCUAGUAAUCGCGGAUCAGCAACGCCGCGGUGAAUGCGUUCCCGGGCCUUGUACACACCGCCCGUCAAGCCAUGGGAGCCGGGGGUACCUGAAGUGCGUAACCGCGAGGAUCGCCCUAGGGUAAAACUGGUGACUGGGGCUAAGUCGUAACAAGGUAUC